UACGGAGGAUGCGAGCGUUAUCCGGAUUCAUUGGGUUUAAAGGGUGCGCAGGCGGGCGAUUAAGUCAGGGGUGAAAUACUACGGCUCAACCGUGGAACUGCCUUUGAUACUGAUUGUCUUGAAUUUAGUUGAAGUGGGCGGAAUGUAGCAUGUAGCGGUGAAAUGCAUAGAUAUGCUACAGAACACCGAUAGCGAAGGCAGCUCACUAAGCUACGAUUGACGCUCAUGCACGAAAGCGUGGGGAUCAAACAGG
rnacentral:rRNA from 1 species